rnacentral:rRNA from 1 species
AAUGAACGCUGGCGGUAUGCCUAAUACAUGCAAGUCGAGCGAACACACGAGGAGCUUGCUCCUCUGACGUUAGCGGCGGACGGGCGAGUAACACGUGGAUAACCUUCCACUAAUACUGGGAUAACUUCGGGAAACAGGUGAUAAUACUAGAUAACAUGAUCAACGGCUUGAUUCAACAGUGCUAGACAGUCUUCCCGUCUCUUUUAGCUGGAUCCGCGCCGCAUUAGCUAGUUGGUAAGGUAACGGCUUACCAAGGCAACGAUGCGUAGCCGACCUGAGAGGGUGAUCAGCCACACUGGAACUGAGACACGGUCCAGACUCCUACGGGAGGCAGCAGUGGGGAAUAUUCCACAAUGGGCGAAAGCCUGACGGAGCAACGCCGCGUGAGUGAAGAAGGUCUUCGGAUCGUAAAACUCUGUUAUUAGGGAAGAACAAAUGUGUAUGAAACUAUGGACGUCUUGACGGUACCUAAACAGAAAGCCACGGCUAACUUCGUG